AACGAACGCUGGCGGCAGGCUUAACACAUGCAAGUCGAGCGCCCCGCCAGGGGAGCGGCAGACGGGUUAGUAACGCGUGGGAAUCUACCUAUCUCUACGCAAUAACGCCUGGAAACGUGUGCUAAUACCGUAUACGUCCUUCGGGAGAAAGAUUUAUCGGGGAUGGAUGAGCCCGCGUUGGAUUAGCUAGUUGGUGGGGUAAAGGCCUACCAAGGCGACGAACCAUAGCUGGUCUGAGAGGAUGAUCAGCCACACUGGGACUGAGACACGGCCCAGACUCCUACGGGAGGCAGCAGUGGGGAAUAUUGGACAAUGGGCGCAAGCCUGAUCCAGCCAUGCCGCGUGAGUGAUGAAGGCCCUAGGGUUGUAAAGCUCUUUCACCGGUGAAGAUAAUGACGGUAACCGGAGAAGAAGCCCCGGCUAACUUCGUGCCAGCCGCCGCGGUAAUAC
rnacentral:rRNA from 1 species